rnacentral:tRNA from 1 species
GCGGGUGUCGCCUAGCCAGGAUAUGGCACCGGCUUCCGGUCGCAAUUCUAGUGAUGUGGGAAUGAGCCGGACUGCAGGAGUUCAAAUCUCCCCACCCGCG